UGGACAUUUCUUUUUAUUCAGUUUCUUCUUGAGGUGAAGAUAACAUCUUAUGAAAGUCCUAGAGAAUACAGUAGCUUUCUGUUCACCCUUUGCAAGGUAUAAGGGUGUAUCGUUCUGACAUUU
rnacentral:snoRNA from 1 species